GUCACUGCGCCGAAUGCGUACUACGUCAUCGGAUCAGAGUAUGGUCGCCAUUGGGUUAAACGCCUGAGAAAGCCGAGCGAGGAAGCUAAGUUGAAGAGGGGGGUGGGUGGGUAGAAACUGCGGCCUUUAAGCUACUUAGCCCGCCCCCGACACCCCGCACUCCGAGAGCCCCUUUCGGAAUCCGAGCCUGGUGCAAGUGGCGAUUAAUGAAGAAUGUCUGCGACAAGCGUUGACCCUCAGAGAGCGAAAGGACAAGAGAAUAAAGUGCAAAAUGGUUCAUUGCAUCAAAAGGAUACAGUGCACGACAAUGAUUUUGAGCCAUACUUAAGCAGCCAGUCCAAUCAGAGCAACAGCUAUCCUUCAAUGACUGAUCCAUAUUUGUCAAGUUAUUAUGCCCCUUCCAUUGGAUUCUCGUAUUCUCUUAGUGAAGCAGCACCAUGGUCUACUGGCGGUGAUCCUCCUAUUCCAUAUUUAACAACCUAUGGGCAGCUGAGUAAUGGAGACCAUCAUUUCAUGCAUGAUGCUGUGUUUGGUCAGCCUGGGGGACUAGGCAAUACCCCAUAUUUAAACCAACAUAGAUUCAACUUUUUCCCUGAAAAUCCAGGGUUUUCUGCAUGGGGAACUGGUGGUUCUCAGGGGCAACAAACACCAAGCUCAGCAUAUGGCAGUAGCUAUAGUUACCCACCUAGUUCUUUGGGAGGAACAAUAGUAGAUGGACAGGCAGGGUUUCCAAAUGAUACCUUGAAUAAAGCACCAGGCAUGAAUAGCAUUGAACAGGGGAUGGUUGGACUUAAGAUUGGAGCUGUGACAACAUCAGGUGUAAAGACUGUAGGAUCUGUGGUAAACAGUCCAGGUAUGACCAACACAGCACCUGGAAAUGGCUCAGCAGCUGGUGUAUCUGCUCCAAAACCAACAUCGUGGGCUGCCAUUGCAAGUAAACCAGCCAAGCCUCAACCAAAAUUAAAACCAAAGACUGGAGCAGCAGUAGGAGGUUCUGCAUUGCCCCCACCACCUAUAAAACAUAAUAUGGACAUUGGUACAUGGGACAAUAAAGGACCUGUACCAAAAGCUCCUCCAACUCAUCAGGACCCUAAUACUCAGGCAGUUCCACAGCAGCAGUUGACUCAACCCCCUCCAGUUCAGCCAUUACAACUUUCACAACAACCUUAUCCGAAUCCUCAACAAACCCCACAGAACCGAUGGAUAGCCCCUCGCAAUAGAGGGGCGGCAUUUGGUCAAAAUAGUGCAACUGUUAACGAAAGCAACUCGGUGGGUAGUCUACCGGUUAGCUCUCCGCCAAGCAAUGAGACUCAUCCUGUUCUUGAGAAAUUGAAGGCUGCAUACUGCUACAACCCAAAAGACUUUGACUGGAAUCUUAAAAAUGGCCGAGUGUUUAUUAUCAAGAGCUACUCUGAGGAUGAUAUCCAUCGCUCUAUCAAGUACUCCAUUUGGUGUAGUACCGAACACGGCAACAAACGCUUGGACAGUGCUUAUCGCUCGAUGGCUGGAAAAGCUCCUGUUUACUUAUUAUUCAGUGUGAAUGGCAGUGGACACUUCUGUGGAGUGGCAGAAAUGAAGUCGCCAGUGGACUAUGGUACAUGUGCUGGGGUUUGGUCACAGGACAAGUGGAAAGGCAAAUUUGAUGUUAAGUGGAUCUUUGUAAAGGACGUGCCUAAUAACCAGCUGAGGCAUAUCCGUUUGGAAAACAAUGAUAAUAAGCCAGUCACUAACUCUCGGGACACUCAGGAGGUUCCUUUAGAGAAAGCCAAGCAAGUGCUCAAAAUUAUUGCUACUUACAAGCAUACCACCUCAAUUUUUGACGACUUUUCACAUUAUGAAAAGCGUCAGGAAGAAGAGGAAGUUGUACGUAAGAAAGGGAAGAUGUUCUAAAGGCAAAAUCUUCCAUUUCACAUUAAUCAUUCAAGUUGAGAAUUUCAUUGGGAGAAGUCGAGGUUAACAGUUGGCAGUACAGGAACGCCUGAACCGAAACAAAUGAUAAGAAAACAUUUGACUUGAGUUUUAAAAAAAACUGAAAACCUGGUGCUGUGACUCAGCAUCAGAAUGAAAAGAAAAAUCAAAGCUUUCUGCUCCAGUGAUAUCUUUAUGUGCAGGGGAAUUAAGCUGCAUCACGUUUUUAGUACAUUUCUGUUUUUGUUUUUGCCCAGACUGGUCUGCAUUUUGUUUGUAAUUUUGCACCUAAAAUGCUGUAGCAGUCACUGGUAACUUCUGUUACACUGAAGCUUUAGCCUGCAUUUGUUUAGCAAUCCUAUGAAGAUGAGCCUUGCAAGCUCUUUUUUUUAAAAUGGGAAAUAUUACUGCGUCAGCCUUAUGUAGUUUGGAUGAUGUGAUGCUUUCAACGUUACUAGUUUUGGUGAUGUGUGUUAACUUUGAGCUUUUCUGGUGUUCUUUUCAAGUCGCUGUUAAUUUGCAUUCUCUCAUGAAAAUCCCAAGGUCAUUCUUUUCUUUUCCUUCCGUAAAGCUGAGCUUUAAUGUAGGAGCAAAUAGUGGAAACGAUGGUUGAUGUCUCAAAAUAUAAAUUGAUGCAAAAAUCUCUUGAUUUUUGAGAUGAAAUAUUUUUGAUUGUUUUUUUCUGUCCGAAAGCUGUACUAUGCUGUACUGUAUGUCUGUGGAAUGAGGGAACCAUUGAAAUUGCUGCCGACUGGAUAAAGCAUGAAACGGUGCUCAUGCCUGUUGCUUUAGUUCACAGAAACUUGCACGUGUUUAUUGUAGAGGAACUUUACUAUCGUUAGAAAGAAAACAAACAAUUAACUCUUCUGAACCUAGCUACAAAAAUGGACCUCAAUUUAAAAACAAAACUUAUCAUUUAGACUUAUAUUUAGACAAUUUUAGUUAUGUCUAUGGAAUAUUGCCUGUAAGGUAAAUGAACAUCAUUGGGUUGAUUUUUCUUUCCUCUAGAAGAAUACAAGCCUUAAUAAACAAUAUCUAUUUAGCAAGCACAGGUGAUCUGUUCUUAAUGCCUCAAAUCAUUUGUGUUCUAAUUUCUUUCUGUUCAUGUGCCUGGAAAACUGCAUUCUGUUCUCUAAACAAAAGUGCAUGAAUUCAAUUGAAGUGAGAAUCUUCAGGUUUCAGAAGUUAUCAUUUUAAAAAUGUCAAAUAAUUGUGUUGUGCAUUUGAGAAUUAAGUUGGAAUAUUUGUUGAUGAAAAUGGCUUAUGGGAAACAAUGCACACCAUGAGGACAAACUGUUAGAACAGACUAACUGAAAUGUUCAGUCAUACUCUAAAAGUGAACACCUUGAGUAAAUCUAAGUGUAAGAUUUUCUAAGAUUUAGAAAAUGUUUGUGUAUUACAAUGCUAUUCUUUAUCCAUCAGUUCAAAAGUGUCACAUAAACCAAUUAAUGUAUUAUCCUUUAGUUGCUGCAACCUGCUGAUAAAAUCUUAAUAAAACCGGAUAUUGCAUUAUAUCUA